UCAGGCCUAACACAUGCAAGUCGUACGAGAGUUUUUAACUCUAGUGGCGGACGGGUGAGUAACACGUGAGAAUUUGCCUUUAGGAGGGGGACAACAAUUGGAAACGAAUGCUAAUACCCCAUAUGCUUUCGAGUGAAAUGGAUUUUAUCCGCCUAGAGAGAAGCUCGCGGCUGAUUAGCUUGUUGGUAAGGUAAGAGCCUACCAAGGCGACGAUCAGUAUCUGGUUUGAGAGGACGAUCAGACACACUGGAACUGAGACACGGUCCAGACUCCUACGGGAGGCAGCAGUGGGGAAUUU
rnacentral:rRNA from 1 species